rnacentral:rRNA from 1 species
UACGUAGGUCCCGAGCGUUGUCCGGAUUUAUUGGGCGUAAAGCGAGCGCAGGCGGUUAGAUAAGUCUGAAGUUAAAGGCUGUGGCUUAACCAUAGUACGCUUUGGAAACUGUUUAACUUGAGCUCGCCAACGAGGGGAGAGUGGAAUUCCAUGUGUAGCGGUGAAAUGCGUAGAUAUAUGGAGGAACACCGGUGGCGAAAGC